rnacentral:lncRNA from 1 species
CUCUGACUGUUGUUGUUUUGAAUGUUUCUCCCAUUUCGGCUAGUAGGCCGUUUACGUAGUACUUAGCUCCUAUUAGCUUUUUGUUGCAAUGAAUUGUGGCGUUAAACUUUUCUCCUGGUUCACAUUUUCCUCUCCAGCGCUUAGGUAUUGGUCAAAUAUUUUUACGAAAUUCAUCUUUUUCUUAAAAAAUAUUGCAAAAUUAAAUUAAAUUAUUAAAGCAGACUCGCGCGUAAUUCAGGAUGGUCUGUGCAAGAUUCCGGUUAAAAAAAUAAAGAUCUUUGAUAUGAAGUUUCUUUAGUUUGAGUUUUAUUUAGUACCUGAUAUUUUGUUUGCUUGGGAAGAAGUAAGAAGUGCUGCGAAACCGGAAAAUCCAUGUUGAUAGCUGUAGAUCAUCGAUUUAUGUGCGUCUUCUUUGCUAUAUGUAACAUGAAGAUAUAAGUUAGAGAGCAACUCAUGAUAUGCAUUAAGAAGUAUAACAAAAAAGGAGUAGGGCUUUAGUUUCGUGAAGAAACAGAACAUAGCGAGAGGAUUUCUUUGCUGGCAAGAAACUAAUGUUAAAUAAAACAUAUUCAGCAACUUUGAUGUCAUAGUCACUAUGCAUACAAAAAAAAUCUCACUAGAGAUUUGGCCUUUUGAAGAUGAUUAAGUACCUAUCAAGAAAUGAUUCAAGCAUUUGAUGAUGAGAGGCUGUAACAAGUUCGGGAUCAUCAUUUUCUCUUUCUCCAAGAUAAACUAUAUAAACCUAUGGAAUCAUUGAAAAAUCCACAGUAGAUAAAAUAAAAGUCAAUAAUAUCUUAGCAAAUAUGGAAAGGUCUUUUUUGCGUUAAAUGCCUUGGUGUUGUUGUCUAGGGCUCUCGCAGGUGAAAGAAAACCCAGCUCCGUGUUAACUAAUAGAAACAAAGAAAAUGCCAAUAGAAGCACAAGUUUGUAACUUGGUAAAGAGUUCUUCAUUUUCUUAAUUGAGAAGUGUAUGUGUGUGGAACAAAACCUAUGUGGUUAUUUAUAUACGUAAAUGAUUCAUUCGUCUUUCAAUUUACAGUUCAUAACCCACUUCAGCACUUAGACGUGGAGUUUUGGGUUAGACUCCGGUAUAUGUGUUUAGUUCGUUUAAGAGGAAUGUCAUACUCAAAGGACAAAAAGAAGGUCACUUUGAUUAGAUUUUGUUUUGGUUUAAGUGUGAUGAUUGUACCUAUGAGUAAACAUCAUUAUUUACCAUAUGACAUCGAGAUGAGGUAAGCGGAAGUUUGUUACAGAAUAAGAUAUUUUCGCUCUGUUACCAUAUGAGUAAACAGCACAUUAUACUCAUUAAUUAGUUUCAAAUGUACAAAGUCUGCUUAUAUACAUGACCCGACUGAGUAAACCAAAAGUAAAUAAACCGGUUUAUAUGUACCAGUGUACAAUCAUCAGUUACUAACCAAAACUAUACAAGAGCUUUAUACGAUAAUCGUAUCAUUAGUCUUAUAUAACUGCAUUCAUUAUUUAUGUUGAUUUGAGAAAAUACUUGUCAAACUAAAACUUCACCUCAUUCCGGUUCGUUUUGUUUCAAUCAAUAUCGGUUAGUGAUCACCCUUUCUAGGCACAAGAGUCCCGAUAGAAGGGAAAUAGGAUUCCAACUCUAGAAAUAUAAGAAGAAUAAAAAAAAAAAAAAUUGGUUUAUUGAGUCAACCGUGCAGGGUCAUUUCGGGUCAAACCGGUUUUAUCUCUUUUAUCAUGCGACUAAACCCCACCAAAAUGUUUUGCUCCCUUUGUCAGAUACCCACUUUCCUUAAAGGCUAAUCCUUUCCUGAAAUUGUUUUAUAGAAAUAUAUGAUUUGUUUAACUAAAUAUUAUCAGUUUGGCCUAUAAGAGGAUAUCAAUCAUUUCUGACUAAUCUAGUUAGUAAGUUAAACCAUGGUUUGUUUACGACCAUGACUGACGGAAUUUGGUAUAGAGAGAGAUGAUUACUAUAUCCUGAUAGAGAAAUCCAAACUGAAAGAUAGAAUCAUUGACAAGAAAAGGUUUUCAGUGAUUUAAACUCCAGACUAUUUUUUUUAAAUCGGAAGAAAAACCACCAACUAAAAUUUUAUGCUUUUAAACCUUCAACUAUGAUUUCGUUACUGUAUUAAUCCCUCCGUAAACAAUUCUCUUUAAAGUGAAUAGAAAACGUUAACUUGAAACACUGAGUUUCAUUAAACAUGAGUAACUACAUGUCGUUUUUUUCUUUUUAAUGAAACUCAACGUUUCAAGUUAACGUUUUCCACCCACUUUAGACGGAUUUGUUAACGGAAGAGUUGAUACCCUAACAGAAUCUUAGUUGGGGGUUUAAAAACAUAAAAUUUUAGUUAGAGGUUUUGUUCGGAUCUAAAAAUAGUUCGGGGUUUAAAUCACUAAGAACCAAAAAGAAAACCAAUUCUAAUUUUUGCAUUUAUGGGUAUACACAAAAACAUGGAAUGUGUAUAACAAGAUGAAACUAUAUGAAAAAAAUAUGAAAUCAUAUGCUAAUAUAUUUUUCUAGUAAAUUUUGUUCCGAUUAUCUAUAUAUUCUUAUAUAUAUAUAUAUUAUUUUUAUUUGAAUACAAUUAAUCUAAUAUUACUAAGAAUUGACACUAAAUUACUAUACACAAGUAAACUUCUGUGUUACAUUUGGAUAUAUACUUUUCAUUUGUCUCUUUGUACAGCACAUAUAUUAUAGUCAUGUGUGCAUAUUAUAGUCUUGAAUUGAAUGUGUUUUUCAUACUUGGUAGAUAAAUGGUGACCACCAAUAGUUGAAUCUGUUUGAUAGUGGAAUCUUCAAAGGUGGUACGACUGAAUUUAUUGACUCGCUUUUUAUGCACGUGCAAGAAAUAGAUUAUUUUGUGUUUUAUUUUUUCUUUUUCUGCCAAAUGAUUAUUGUGUGUUUUCUUCUUCUUAGAAAGGCAUGAUAAAUUGAUAAUGGUUAAAUACUAGAAAUCUAGCAUGCAUCGCAGAUAAUCCGUAACAAAGCACCGAUUGACCUCACCCACUUGUCUCUCUUCAUAAUAUAUAUCCUCGAAUACACGUUUGUGCUCAUGUUACUACGUGUUUUCAGAAUGUUGUUGUUGUAUUGUUCUUAGCUGAGUGUUGAAGAAUUUCUGAAGAACACCCUUUCACCUUUUUUGUCUUCCUGGAGAUUUUUAUGACCGUGUUAUUGUUGUAGGGUAUUUAUUGCGCAUGCAUGAUACUUUGAUCAUACUAGUUUGCGAUCAUACUAAUUAGUGUAUGUUUAUUUCUGGUUGACUACAAACUAUUAUUACAAGAUACCUAAUUUGUUCUAAAGAAAAGACUAUCAGAUAACAAAUGCUUUUACAAUAUAUAUAAUAUAUAAGUAGAUUGAUAAUCGUAACGUAAAUAAUUUGCAAGAUGCAUUUUUUAAUGAAAAAAAGAAAUGCGCUUGUGCUUUUAUAUACGUUAAGCACUCUAUUUGGCUCGAAGGUUAGUAUAUAUAAAUUCCGCAUGAAAAGUUCGGUCAACAAAAACCAUAGUAUGGAAAACAUUAAUCAUUAGAACAGUGAAACCCACUUAACAUAGAACUUCGAAGGCCUUCACUAAUCACACGAGUGGAGAUUGUAUUUCGGGUAAAGCUUCUCUCAUUUUCAACCCGAAAUACUUUAUUAUACUUUUUGACCAAUAUUUCUGAUACUUGUUUUAGUUUCUGAUUACUAUUUUUAUAGGGAUACUAGCAAAAUACAUUCGCGCAACUAAGAGUGAAGCGACCGUUUGUGUGUUUAAAUUCUAACUUUCUAUUUCAAAUUUUAACAUUUCCAGAACUUUUUUUAUAUCUCUAAAAAUAAUUAUAGAUUUAGGAUAAUAUUUCCUAGCUAGGUUGGGUUUUUAUUUCACAAUUAUUUUUCCCAAUUACGGUGCAUAAUUUUAUAUCAGUGAGAAAAAAAAAAAGAGAGCAGCCGAAAAAGAGGAAGAUUUUAGUUUCAAAAAAAAAAAAAAGAAAAAGACGAAGACAAACUACCCAUGCAUGCGUGGUGGUAGUCUUGUAGGGUAGUGAGUAAGCAUUAGUUUUAGUUGGCUGUUAAGUAUCACCUUCCAUGUGCUACCGUUUGGUUGGUCUGAGGAAUGAGGGUGUCAAAUUAUUUAUCUUUUUAUUGGAGGGUAAUUAGAAAAAAAGAAAAAGAAACAUGCAAAUUUUAUUAUUCUCUCCAUCAAAAAUUCACGAAAAUAUUCAGUAUAUAUGCUACAUGUGCAGGAAAUGAACUUGGAGGUCUCAUGUCAAGCUUUAAACUUUAAGAUAUAUUAUGGGAUGAUUGGAAGGAGUUGUAACUUUAUAUUUUUGCUUUAGAAAUAAAACUGUAGAUUUUUUUGCUGUGGCCGUAAAUAAUUUUGCUGUAAAAUAUUAUCUGUAGGUUUAAAAAGAUUCAAUGAUUUACAUAUAAAUUUUCUAAAACAAAAAAUAAGUGCUCUAGAUUUAUAGUUUUCCACAGCUAAAAAAUAAAUAAAUAAAAAACUGUAGUUUUAAAAAAUCUUAACAAAGCAUUGUUAUCAAAAUUUUGGACUGUAUAAAUAAUUUAGCCGGUAGAGAGAUCCUACAUCACUUUUAAAACAAUUGCCAAUCAACCUCAAUUAACAAGUCUAUCGUUAACAUAUGGUUGCAACGAAUAAAUUAGGAUAUUUGAUUCGAUACAGUCAGAAUUGAAAUUUGCAACAAACUACGUAAGAACAAAGACCAUAGCAUCAUACCGCUCUUUUUUAAUACAUUGAAUCGAUCGAAAUCGCUUAUUGUUCAGAUACUUUUUGAGUUUCUUUGUUACGCCUUGAUCUUCAUCACCGAUCCAUCAUCACCUAAACAUAAGCUCUUUAUGUCUCUUCUCCGUUUUCCUUUUUUUUUUUUUUUUGUUAUUGAUAAUUCUGUUAGUUUCUUGUAUUUAUUUUGAUAUUAAUGUUAAUAUACUGACUUAAGUUUAAUUAUAGUGGUAAUAACGUUAGGUUUCUCCGAGUUCUUGAGCUUACAAAAACAGAGUAAAAACAUAAAAUAUAGGUAGAGGAAUAUCAAGCUGCUUCACUUCCCAGCAUCAAAACAACUGCCGACAUCAGUGGUCUAUCAUCUACACGUGCUUGAACACACAACAGGCCAACCUGUAAGCACCUUAAGAUUUCACGUGGCCUGAACGUUGGGGAUGAAGAAUCUUUUAGGAAACUAUCCAAAAUUAACAGGUUUUUAAAAAAUUAUUUUAAAAAUACAACUAUGAAAUUUUUUGAAAGAAUACUUAUCUAUAAACAAAAAUUUAUUGUAUCUUUAUUUUUAAGUCACAGUCCCAAAUCUACAAUAGUUCUCUAUAAAAAUGAAAACUUUUCGAAAAUAGCAAGUUCUUAAAAAAUUAUUAAAAAAAUGUUACCUAUUGAUGAAAAAUUUUGAAAGAAUACUCAUCUAUUAACACAAUUUUUUGUUAAAUUAUUGUCUAAGUCACAAUCCAAAAUCUACAAUAAUUUUCUAUAAAAAUGAAAACUAUCCAAAAAUAGCAGGUUUUAAAAAUAUUAUUUUAAAAAUGCAACCUAUUGAUGAAAAAUUCUGAAAAAAUACUCAUCUACAAAAAAAACUUUUUGUUAUACUAAUUUCUAAGUCACAAUCAGAAACUAAAUUAGUUCUUUAUAAAAAUUAAAACUAUCCAAAAAUAGCAAGUUCUUAAAAAAAUAUUUUAAAAAUGCAACCUAUUGAUGAAAAAUUCUAGAAGAAUACUCAUCUACAAACAAAAAUUCUUGUUAUUCUUAUUUCUAAGUCACAAUCCCAAAUCUACAAUAGUUCUCUAUAAAAAUGAAAACUUUCCAAAAAUAGCAAGUUAUUAGAAAAAUAUUAUAAAAAUACAACCUAUUGAUGAAAUUUUUUGAAAGAAUACUCAUAUAUGAAAAAAAAUUCUAGUUAUCAUAAUUUCUAAGUCAUAAUCCCAAAUCUACAAUAGUUCUCUAUAGAAAUAAAAAAUUUCCAAAAAUAGCAGCUUUCGUAAAAUUAUUGAAAGAACCUAUUGAUGAAAAAUUCUGAAAGAAUACUCAUCUGUCAACAAAAAUUCAUGUUAUACGAAUUUCAAAAUUACAAUCUCAAAUUUACAAUAGUUCUCUAUAGAAAUGAAAACUAUCCAAAAAUAGCAGGUUUUUUAAAAAAUAUUUUAAAAAUGCAACCUACUGAUGAAAAAUUCUGAAAGAAUACUCAUCUACAAACAAAAAUUCAUGGUAUCCUUAUUUCUAAGUCACAAUCCCAAAUCUACAAUAGUUCUCUAUAAAAAUGAAAACUUUUUAAAAAUAGAAGGUUCUUAAAAAAUAUAAAAAAUGUUACCUAUCGAUGAAAAAUUCUUGUUAUAUAGAUUUCUAAGUCACAAUCCAAAAGCUACAAUAGUUCUCGAUAAAAAUAAAAACUAUCCAAAAAAUAGCAGGUUUAAAAAAAAAAUAUUUUAAAAAUGCAGCCUAUUGAUAAAAAAUUCUGAAAGAAUACUCAUCUACAAACAAAAAUUCAUGGUAUUUUAUUUCUAAGUCACAAUCUCAAAUCUACAAUAAUUUUUUAUAAACAUGAAAACUAUUCAAAAAUAGUAGGUUCUAAAAAAAUAUUAAAAAAUGUUACCUAUUGAUCAAAAUUUCUGAAAGAAAACUCAUUUAUUAACAAAAAUUCUUGUUAUAUUAAUUUCUAAGUCACAAUCCAAAAUCUACAAUAGUUCUCUAUAAAAAUGAAAACUAUCCAAAAAUAGCAGGUUUUAAAAACAUUAUUUUAAAAAUGCAACCUAUGGAUGAAAAAUUCUGAAAAAAUACUUAUCUACAAACAAAAAUUCUUGUUAUACAAAUUUCUAAGUCAUAAUCCAAAACUACAUUAGUUCUCUAUAAAAAUUAAAAUUAUCCAAAAAUAGCAGGUUUUAAGAAAAAUUAUUUUAAAAAUGCAACUUAUUGAUGAAAAUUUGUAAAAGAAUACUCAUCUACAAACAAAAAUUCUUGUUGUCCUUAUUUCUAAGUCACAAUCCCAAAUCUACAAUAGUUUUCUAUAAAAAAUGAAAACUUUCCAAAAAUAGCAGGUUCUUAAAAAAAUAUUAUAAAAAUGUAACUUAGUGAUGAAUUUUUUUGAAAGAAUACUCAUAUGUGAAAAACAAAUUCUAGUUACCUAAUUUCAAAGUCACAAUCUCAAAUCUACAAUAGUUCUCUAUACAAAUAAAAAAUUUCCAAAAAUAGCAGCUUUCGUAAAAAUUAUUGAAAAAAUGUAACCUAUUGAUGAAAAUUUUUGAAUGAAUACACAUCUGUCAACAAAAAUUCUUGUUAUCCAAAUUUCAUAGUCACAAUCUAAAAUCUACAAUAGUUCUCUAUAGAAAUGAAAACAUAUUUAAAAAAUAGCAAUUUUUUCAAAAAUUAUUGAAAUAUGUAACCUAUUGAUGAAAUUUUUUGAGAGAAUACUCAUCCAUCAACUAAAAUUCUUAUUAUCUUAAUUUCAAAGACAUAAUCCCAAAUCUACCAUAGUUUUCUAUAGAAAUGAAAACUAUCCAAAAAUAGCAGGUUUUUAAAAAAUUAUUUUAAAAAUGCAACCUAUUGAUGAAAAAUUCUGAAAUAAUACUCAUCUACAAACAAAAAUUCAUGGUAUCCUUAUUUCUAAGUCACAAUCUCAAAUCUACAAUAGUUCUCUAUAAAAAUGAAAACUUUUCAAAAAUAGCAGAUUCUUAAAAAAAUAUAUAAAAAUGUUACCUAUUGAUGAAUUUUUUUUGUUAUAUUAAUUUCUAAGCCAUAAUCCAAAAUCUACAAUAGUUCUGUAUAAAAAUGAAAACUAUCCAAAAAUAGUAGGUUUUAAAAAAAAUAUUUUAAAAAUGCAACAUUUUGAAGAAAAAUUCUGAAAGAAUACUCAUAUAUAAACAAAAAUUCUUGUUAUACUAAUUUCUAAGUCACAAUCCAAAAUCUACAAUAGUUCUCUAUAAAAAUGAAAUCUUUCCAAAAAUAACAGGUUCUUAAAAAAAUAAUAUAAAAAUGCAACCUAUUGAUGAAAUUUUUUGAAAGACCACUCAUAUAUGAAAAAAAUUCUAGUUAUUCUAAUUUCUAAGUCACAAUAGUUCUCUAUAAAAAUGAAAACUAUCCAAAAAUAGUAGGUUUAAAAUUUUUUUUUUUAAAAUGCAACCUAUUGAUAAAAAAUCAUCUACAAACAAAAAUUCAUGUUAUCCUAAUUUCUAAGACACAAUCUUAAAUCUACAAUAGUUCUUCAUAGAAAUAAAAACUUUCCAAACAUAGAAGCUUCUCUAAAAAUUAUUGGAAAAAUGCAACCUAUUAAUGAAAAAUUAUGAAAGAAUACUCAUCUGUCAACAAAAAUUCUUGUUAUCCUAAUUUCAUGAUGCCCACUGAGUAAGAUUCGGGGGCUUCCCGGCGCAGAAAGCAUAAUCUCAAAUCUACAAUAGUUAUCUAUAGAAAUGGAAACUUUUAAGAAAUAGUAGUUUUUGUAAAAAUUAUUGAAAUAUGUAAUUUAUUGAUGAAAAAUUCUGGAAAAAUACUCAUCUAUCAAAACAAAUUCUUGUUAUCCUUAUUUCUAAGUCACAAUCCCUAAUCUAUAAUACUUCUCUAUAAAUAUGAAAAAAUCCAAAAAUAGGAGGUUUUUUAAUUUUUUUUUUAAAUGUAACUUAUUGCUGAAAACUUCUGAAAGGAUACUCAUCUAUUUACAAAAAUUCUUGUUAUAUUAUUUCUAAGUCACAAUCCCAAAAAAAUAGUAGUUAUCUAUCAACAAAAAAUACUUGUUAUCCUAAUUUUAAAGUCACAAUCCCAAAUCUACAGUAGUUCUCUAUAAAAAAUGAAAACUUUUCCAAAAUACCAGUUUUUAAAAAAAUUAUUGAAAUAUGUAACAUGUUAUAAAAAAAUAUUGAAAUAUGUAACAUGUUAUGAAAAAUUAUUUAAAAAUAAUUCAUUUGUACUCUUUUUCAUUUAUUUAAAUUUAGUGAAAUAUAUUUAGGUCACAAACUCACAAUAAAUCGCUAAGACACUAUCUCUUCACAUUUCUUCAAGCCAAUUCUCGAAUCCACAAUACCAUCUUAAUUAGUAUCUGGCAACUUCAUCUUCUCUAGCCUCAAAAACCCAUCUUCGCUACAACUAAGCCGCGUUCUCCUCACACACACAGAUGAUCCGUCUCUCAAGUCCCACAGCUGCUGAUUUGUUUUCAAUCUGUGGACCUAAUGCGUAUUUGGUCACAAUAAUCAUUAGGCCCACAGCUUGAGAACAAAUCGCAGUCGUCCGUUGGUAAACUCCAGAAAUAGCUCCUGGUAUAAUCAUCUGAGAGAGGGUUGUCUCUGUUGGCUGCCCAUGCGUAGGUUUUCUUCGAGAUUUCUUAUACCAUAUUCCCAGAUACCAACGCGAUCGAGAGUGCCGGCGGUUUGAAAAAAACAAGCUCGAAGACUCCACCGGGAGAUACGAGUGUUCUGUUGCUAAUUGAGAUUGUGUGAGAUCCUGAAGACGACAAUGUGUUGAUAUCGAUCGAAAGGGUAGGAUGAAAUAUAAUCAAGACGAGCAAGAACGAGAAGGUGUAAGAACGGUUGUAUAUAUGUUCUCUACACCUUCCAUAUUUCUCUACCACUUUCUUUCUUAUACUUUUUUUCUCGUUUAUAUUUAAACUUUUUUGACGUACGAUUGAUGAAAGUAACUUGCAUAUAUUAGUAUCGGGUUCCUAUUCAUAUCUUAAUCUUUAGUUACUUCCGCAAGAAAAUUCGAAAUCAAUUAAUUAUUAUCACGACCCUAGCAGACAAGCAAAAUGUUGUGUUUCAUAUUCCAUGACUUUUUCACCCUUUCAAUCAAUUCAUUUCCACUAACCUUUAUAUAUCAUUGGUAUAUAUUUUUUAAAUUUACGCUUUAUUAGUUCUCACGCUGCCAACAUAGCAUAUGGUGUUCGUCAAGUAUGGUGUUCUCUUUCUCAAAAAAAAAAAGUAUGGUGUUCUCAAGAGCAUCAUACGAUCCAUUCAAAGUUUAUUGAAAAGUUUUGUACCAUUUCUUCAACGAUUGUGGAAAGAUUAAACUUAGGAUUUGAGUGGAUUCUCCUCUACCACUCACAAAUGCAUUUUUUAUCGGUGGUAACAUUGGUAUUUUACAACAUAAAUCGAUUUAAACCAUUUCAAACCUUUUAAAAUCAAAAAUUGAUCUUGCUAGUGUUUGCGGUUGCAGAUUGUUGCGGUUGUGGGUGGAUAAAUAAAUGUAAAAAUAUUUUCUAAAAUUAUUUUGAAAUUUUACAUUUCAGUCUUAUAAUAGAAAUAUUAUAAAUAAAAGUUUAUAAAUAAAUUUUGUAUUUUAAUUUAUAUUCACUAACAAUAUCAUAAUUUAUUUUAUAAAAACUUCCAACCAAAAAUAUUCACUAUAAUUCUUGAACAUUAAUAUAUAUACAUAUAUAAACAUAUAUACAUUUUAUAAAUUAUAUAUCAGUGAGAAGAAAAAAAUUGAAAGCAGCUGAAAAAGGGGAAGACAAACUGCUCAUGCAUGCAUGGUGGUAGUCUGGUAGGACAGUGAGUCCCAUUAGUUGACCGUAAAGUAUAACCUUCCAUGUGAACGAGUGUGUGUCAAAUUGUUUCUCUUUUUACUGGAGGGUAAUUAGAAAAAGGAAUGUUCAAAAAAAAAAAAAUUAGAAAAAGGAAAAAAACAUGUAAUUUUUUUUAUUUUUCCCAUCAAAAAUACACGAAAAUAUUCAAUAUAUAUGAACUUGGAGUUCUCAGGUCAAACUUAAAGAUAUAUUAACAAGUCAAGACACUAAUGCUAUAGUUAACAUAUGGUUGUAACGAAUAAAUUAGGAAAUUUCACGGUUUUCUCUAUAUGUGUGUUUGUUAUUGUAUAAGAGAUUCAAAUUUUUUAGUGAUUUCAUCUUUCUAAUUAGUAAAGAUGUUGAUUUGACACACUUCGAAUUGAAAUUUGCAACAAACUUCAUAAUUAAGAACAAAGCCAUGAGCAUCGCAUGGCUCUUUUUUUAAUACAUUGAGUCGAUCGAAAUCGCUUAUUAUUCAGAUAAUUUUGAGUUUCUUUGCUAAGCCUUGAUCAUAAUCUUUGUCUGAACAGAGACAGGGAUCUUAACAUCAUGAACACCAUCAGUCCAUGUCAAGCUUCCAAAGAAGUAACCAGUGUUGACUUUAUGGCUCGUUUUAGCCUUCACCUUGAAAGUAGGCCUGGGUUCGCGGGUCAACCCGCCCCGCACGACCCGCCAACCCGCGGAUCGUUUCUUUUGUUUUAGUUAAAAUUUCGACCCGUUCAACCCGCAAAGAAAUAAACUAAUACCCGCACCUGCCCCGCUUUAUUUUGCGGGUAACCCGUGGGACCCGCGGGUUAUAUUUUUAAUUAAAAAAAUAAUUAUUUAAUUAGUUUUUCUGCAAAAUAAUAUAUUUAUAAGUAAUUUUUUAUAUUAUUUUUUAAAAGUUUAAUUAUUUUCUUUUAAAAAUAACUAUUUUUCUAAAAAAAAUCGAAUUUUUCAAAAAAAAAGAUUUUUUUUUAUUUUUUAUUUUAUUUUGCGAGUUGGCGGGUAUCCGCAAAUCAAAAUCCACCAACCCGCACCCGCCCCGCAAAAAAUAGUCUUAACCCGCACCCGCAUCCGCGACUUGAUUUUUUCAAAAUGCUCGACCCGCACCCGCCCCGCGGCGGGUCAAAUGGGGCGGGCCCCGCGGGCUUUGAUUUAAAUUCCCAGGCCUACUUGAAAGUGAGCACUCUCUUAGCUGCAGAGCUAAACACGAGUGUGUUCGGUGUGACGGUGAGAGUUAUGCCGAGUGGAGACUCGAUCACAGCUUUGUAGACUGACUUGAUGGGUCCAACAUUGGUCACAGUUCUUGUGAGUGUGACUUCUUUUUCAAUAUUUGGAAUUGUGAUUGAAGGUAAGUUCAUAUCAAGAAUUGAUGGCUUAGGAUUUGGACACUUGGUAAUUAUACCAGAAAUUGAGGAAUCGUUGUAACCAGCAGAACACAUAUAGUUGAUGUAAUCUUGAAUCCCCAUAUCGUAGACAAGUCCUGGUUUUGAAGCUCUUUGAGGGUUUACAAGACCUCCUCCAUAGUCAAAUGGAUCUGCAAGCUUCUUGUUUGAUCCUUCAGCAAAAAUGGGCUCUCCAGAUGGACUUGUCCUCCAAGCUUCCAAAAAGAGACAGGUUAGUCAGUUUUGUUUGUGUAGUUGAAGAAGAAAAAGUGAAGAACUAAGCAAAGAACCUGUUGUGACCAAAGCUGAUCUAACUGCAGCAGGAGACCAGUUAGGGUGCGGAGACUUGAGGAGAGCUAUGAUUCCAGAAACAACAGGAGUCGACAUGGAUGUCCCUGUAUCUAGUCCAAAUCCAUCAUGUUCUCUAGAAUCAAACGGACUUAAUGCAGCGAGUAUGCUCACACCAGGAGCUGCUAUAUCAGGCUACAUAGUGUAAAAUGUGAUAAAUAAUCUAGUUUCAACUUUUGAAGUAAACAACAUAGACCAGAGACAUAACGGCUUUGUAACCUUGAGAAUGGCUGGUGAAACUGAGUUAGGCCCUCUACAUGAGAAUGCAGCAACCUUUGUAGUUGCAGGCAAACCUGUUAAUGUCGUAGCCGAGUUUAUUCUCACCGUAGGAGAUCUGUGAUUAGACGUUGGAUCAAUAAUAUUUAUAGAUAAAAAAAAAAGAGAGGGAUGUGACAUUAUAAACAGAGUUUAUCUGCUUCAAGAUAGAGGAACCUGGUGGUACGUAUGUAUUGUAAAAUGUCGGUUCCAAGCUCGUAAUCUGCAAAAAUGCACUUAAAAGAAUGGCACCGUUGAAGUAGAUCGUCAGGCUUUCGGGCAAAGAUGACUCCUGCUACACCUUUCAAUCUAAUUGGAGUGGUACGUAUACUAUCGAAAACAAGAACUGUUUUCCCCUUCACAUCAACAUUAUCAUCACUGUUUGAGUCCAGGAAGGCUAAACCGGUUGUAAUCUCCGGUCCAGUGUACAGAGAUUCAGCCUAGUUAGACACCAACAAGUUAAAAUAGCUCCAAAUAAACUAUAAUUGUUGUUUAGGUUUUUGGGUAAUAAAAGGUAUUAAAACGUACCAAGAAGGUUUGAUUAUUCCCAAGAGUGAUCUUGGUAGGAAAAGACCGGUCAAGAGUAGUAGCAGCAACGGUCAAAAGCCAUGGAGCAACAUUGACAACAGUCUAAGCAGCAGGGCCUGCGUUACCUGCCGCAGCAACAACCGGAAUCCCUUUUGUCACCGCGUGAAAAGCCGCGAUAUAGUCGAGCUUAUCAACCUCUGAAUCCUCUGGAAUACCCCCGCCAAUAGAAACAGACAAAACAUCAACCCCAUCGUGUAUAGCAUCAUCAAAAGCCUUCCACAUAUCAGCAGUUGUACACCCUCCAGCAUGUUCUACUCCGUUCCAACACGCCUUGUAUGCGGCUAUCCGGGCCUUAGGAGCACCACCUCGGACUGUGCCUGACAAGGGAACAAGGUUAUGUCUUAUUAAACCUAUACCUUGACUCUUAAACUAACUUAUAUCAGGGAUGGAUCAAUACACUUAUUAUCGAUUAGUUUUAUGUUGGAAGUCAAUUUUGACUUAAAAUAUAUAUAUAUAUAGUGAAUACUAUCAAAAGUUUCUGUUGGCUUGGUUCAGUCUCAACUUCUACUUAUCAUGUACCUUGGGCUAGACCAUAGUAGCUUGCAUUGGAGACGAAUGAGCCUCCGGUUAUUUCGGCUGUAUGCGUGCCGUGACCGAUUACAUCUCUGCUGGAUUUGAGAUCUUGGAUUAUGGUUCGGUUGAAUUUUCCUCCCAUCUCGGCGAGUAGGCCGCUUACGUAGUACUUAGCUCCUAUUAGCUUUUUGUUGCAAUGAAUUGUGGCGUUAAACUUUUCUCCUGAUACACAUUUUCCUCUCCAGCGCUUAGGUAUUGGUCCAAGGCCUUGAUCGUUGAAUACCUUUGACUCUGGCCAUAUUCCUUUAUAUAUACAU